GCUCUUAUGAAGUUAGCGGCGGACGGGUGAGUAACACGUGGGUAACCUGCCCAUAAGACUGGGAUAACUCCGGGAAACCGGGGCUAAUACCGGAUAACAUUUUGAACCGCAUGGUUCGAAAUUGAAAGGCGGCUUCGGCUGUCACUUAUGGAUGGACCCGCGUCGCAUUAGCUAGUUGGUGAGGUAACGGCUCACCAAGGCAACGAUGCGUAGCCGACCUGAGAGGGUGAUCGGCCACACUGGGACUGAGACACGGCCCAGACUCCUACGGGAGGCAGCAGUAGGGAAUCUUCCGCAAUGGACGAAAGUCUGACGGAGCAACGCCGCGUGAGUGAUGAAGGCUUUCGGGUCGUAAAACUCUGUUGUUAGGGAAGAACAAGUGCUAGUUGAAUAAGCUGGCACCUUGACGGUACCUAACCAGAAAGCCACGGCUAACUACGUGCCAGCAGCCGCGGUAAUACGUAGGUGGCAAGCGUUAUCCGGAAUUAUUGGGCGUAAAGCGCGCGCAGGUGGUUUCUUAAGUCUGAUGUGAAAGCCCACGGCUCAACCGUGGAGGGUCAUUGGAAACUGGGAGACUUGAGUGCAGAAGAGGAAAGUGGAAUUCCAUGUGUAGCGGUGAAAUGCGUAGAGAUAUGGAGGAACACCAGUGGCGAAGGCGACUUUCUGGUCUGUAACUGACACUGAGGCGCGAAAGCGUGGGGAGCAAACAGGAUUAGAUACCCUGGUAGUUCACGCCGUAAACGAUGAGUGCUAAGUGUUAGAGGGUUUCCGCCCUUUAGUGCUGAAGUUAACGCAUUAAGCACUCCGCCUGGGGAGUACGGCCGCAAGGCUGAAACUCAAAGGAAUUGACGGGGGCCCGCACAAGCGGUGGAGCAUGUGGUUUAAUUUGAAGCAACGCGAAGAACCUUACCAGGUCUUGACAUCCUUUGACAACCCUAGAGAUAGGGCUUUUCCUUUGGGAGCAGAGUGACAGGUGGUGCAUGGUUGUUGUCAGCUCGUGUCGUGAGAUGUUGGGUUAAGUCCCGCAACGAGCGCAACCCUUGAUUUUAGUUGCCAUCAUUAAGUUGGGCACUUUAAGGUGACUGCCGGUGACAAACCGGAGGAAGGUGGGGAUGACGUCAAAUCAUCAUGCCCCUUAUGACCUGGGCUACACACGUGGUACAAUGGACGGUACAAAGAGCUGCAAGACCGCGAGGUGGAGCUAAUCUCAUAAAACCGUUUUCAGUUCGGAUUGUAGGCUGCAACUUGCCUACAUGAAGCUGGAAUCGCUAGUAAUCGCGGAUCAGCA
rnacentral:rRNA from 1 species